rnacentral:rRNA from 1 species
UGUGCAGGCGGUUUCGAAAGUCCGAUGUGAAAUCCCGGGCUUAACCUGGGAACUGCGUUGGAAACUACGAGGCUAGAGUGCGGCAGAGGGGGGUGGGAAUUCCAGGUGUAGCAGUGAAAUGCGUAGAGAUCUGGAGGAACACCGAUGGCGAAGGCAGCCCCCUGGGUUAGCACUGACGCUCAUACACGAAAGCGUGGGGAGCAAACA